rnacentral:rRNA from 1 species
UACGUAGGUGGCAAGCGUUGUCCGGAUUUACUGGGCGUAAAGGAUGCGUAGGCGGACAUUUAAGUCAGAUGUGAAAUACCCGAGCUUGACUUGGGUGCUGCAUUUGAAACUGGGUGUCUAGAGUGCAGGAGAGGUAAGUGGAAUUCCUAGUGUAGCGGUGAAAUGCGUAGAGAUUAGGAAGAACACCAGUGGCGAAGGCGACUUACUGGACUGUAACUGACGCUGAGGCAUGAAAGCGUGGGGAGCAAACAGG